AGUUUCGUACCAAGCAUCACUCG
rnacentral:snRNA from 1 species